rnacentral:rRNA from 1 species
AACGCUGGCGGCGUGCUUAACUCAUGCAAGUCGAUCGGAACGGCCCUGCUUUUGUGGGGUGCUCGAGUGGCGAACGGGUGAGUAUCACGUGAGUAACCUGCCCUUGACUUUGGGAUUACUUCAGUUAACUGGGGCUAAUACCGGUUAGGAGCUCCUUCUUCAUGGUUGUGGUUGUAUAGUUUCGGCGGUUGGUGAUGGACUCGCUGCUUAUCAGCUUGUUGGUGGGGUAGUUGCUUACCAAGGCUUUGACGGGUAGCCGGCCUGAGAGGGUGACCGGCCACAUUGGGACUGAGAUACGGAGCAGAAGGCAACGGGAGGCAGCAGUGGGGAAUAUUGCACAAUGGGCGGAAGCCUGAUGCAGAAACGCAGCGAGCGGGAUGACGGCCUUCGGGGUGUAAACCGCUUUAGCCUGUGACGAAGCGGGAGUGACGGUAAUGGGUAAAGAAGCACCGGCUAACUACGUG